GCGCACGGCACCCUUUCUCUCUUCCUCAACUUCUCAAUUAGUGCACACAUAGUCCACCUAUUUAAGUUGGUUAAGAUACUCUUAACUAUCCAGGUAGAAUUAACCACUUUAUCCAUCUAGCAUUACACGUGGAUCCUGAGAUUAAAUGAAUUAAAUCGGCCUAACCUGAAUAUUCCAACAGGAGCUAGCUAAUGAACGGCGAAGAGGUGUGCGACGAGGCGGCCCUUGGGGCCAAGCUCGACUGCCCGCUCAUAUUGCUGCUCAUGAAGCUGCUGGUGUUGCCUCCCUUGAUCUGCCAUUCGGUGAUGUAGCUGGGCUUGUUCACCACCUCGCCCACCUCCACGUCGUCCCCGGCCAGCAUCGACACAGCCCGAGACAUGGACGGCCGCUGGUGGGGCGAGCCCUGGGUGCAGAGCAGGGCCACGUGGAUGGCACGGAGCACCUCGUUGCUGUUGAAGUCAGCAAUACAGUUGCCAAACCUGAAAGCACAGAAAAUUAUCUAGAAAUGCUAAGAUGCCAGGCUAGCGUGACAUGUGUUUAGGGACGUUUCAUUUACCAAAUAUAAUCUCGUAGUAAUACCGUAUCCCUUAAUUUAUAGACGGGAUUAAAAUCAUUGGUGAGUUGCAUGGCAAUAAUAAGUAUAUCGGUGAAUGAGUAUUCUUUUUUUAAGUCAACGGGGGAGUGCCCCACCUGAUUCAUUAUAGACCAGCACGCUAGCACGCUUCCAUUAUUGGUGAGUUGUAUGGCAAUAAUAAGUAUAAGCCCCCUGCUCUUUUGGCUAGCACGCUUGCUCCCACCCAACAAGACAUUGUGCUCCACUAACUGUAUCUUCCCCGGACCACAGGAAACGUCAUCGUUGGCAAUUGAGAGCGUCAAUGUUCCCUGGGGGUAGAAGGAGCACUGACAUAGCGUAGGUAAGCUGGCUGUCCAUGACGCUAUUGAUCAGCACUGCAUGGCCCAUUGGAUUCAGUAGGGAGGCGUGCCAGCCGCUGAGAUGCCUGUCCGCUCUAGUGAUCAGAGGGCUGAACACGGACAGACGUAGCUUCUCGUGGGACAGUGGCAGCCCCAGGUAGGUUUGGGGGAAGCUGCCAAGUUGGCACCCAAGAAUACUUUGAAGCGCCGUGGUAGUCGAGCUGGAAGUGUUCAUUGGCAUCAUGGUACUCUUGUUGAAAUUGAUGUGCAGCCCCGUGGCCUCGCAGAACAGAUCAAGCACCUGCUUCAGCGCCACCAGCCCAUCUUGAUCUGCCUUGAGGAGGAUGAGGGUGUCAUCGGCAUAUUGGAGCACGGGGCACGGCUUCCCCGAGGUGGCAGGGUGUGAAAUCCUCUGGUCGAGCUUGAUCAUCUGCUGAAGGACGUCAGUGACCAGAAGGAACAACAGGUAGGGGGAUAGUGGAUCCCCCUGCCGUAGGCCUCUUCCACAGGCGAACCACGGGCCAGGAACACCAUUGACAAGGACAACAAGCUUCAAGGUUUGCAACAUGCUCGUGAUCCAGUUGCACCAGAGGGGCGGGAAGCCUCGCGCAUCCAUGAUGGCGUUGAGACUGAGACAAUCCACAGAGUCGAAGGCUUUGGCGAAAUCAAGCUUCAGAACCACGGUGGGUAGCUUGCGGCAGUGGCAGCACUGGACGAGCUCCAUCGCGUAGAUGAAGUUCUCAGAGAUCGAGUGCCCCUUGAUGAAUCCUGUCUGGUCUAGAUCAAUGAGGCGGGGGAUCUAGUGUUGCAGCCGCGUCGUCAGCAUCUUAGAGAUGAUCUUCAAGGAGCAAUUUUGCAGGCAGAUUGGGCGGUAGUCCCCCGGCGUUUUGUCAAGGAGACAGCGACCGCUUCGUACGAUUCCACUAACCGAUUCAAUGUAGCAACGACAGCUGCUUUCGUCACGGAUGUGCACCACGUCCAUGCGUUUGCAGGAAAGGGAGCGCAAAAAAAAAGAGAUAUUUUUGUGAACCGUACAGGCGGAUAUUACAAGGGCUGGGCCUAUUACAAGGCCCAAGGCCUGGUCACUCAUGACACAAAGCACGUUCGGUGAUAUGAAGCUGUGUGGUCCAGCCAAUUGCAAUUUACAGCCUUUUUUCGAGCGAAUUGGCAAUUCUUGUACACAUCCGAAUCGAAAUUUUUCCAAGUGAAUUUCCAAGAAACAAUCUUGGUCUUGGCAGAAGUUGAUCUUAACUUGCCGAUGGGCGAUGGUCAUCAAUCACCGGCCUUCAUCGAUGACGGAGCUCAGGGACAUGGCCUCCGCCCCCGGCUCCGAGCUCGACGUCCCCAUGGCGUUGCUCUGCCACUCGAUGACGUAACUGGGCUUAGUAACCGCCUCGGGCACCUCAAUGUCCCCGACGAGCAUCGACACCACCCUCGACAUGGGCGGGCGCUGCCGAGGUGAGCUUUGGAUGCAGAGGAGGCCAACGCGGAUGGCACGGAGCACCUCUUCGCUGUUGAAUUCUGUGAGCCUAGGGUCUGUGACGUCCAGAGGAUGGUCGUCCUCGUAAAGUUGCCAGACCUGAAAGCAUGAUAAGUUGGGGGACAAUUCAGAUCCAACUGUUUUUUUUUUCCUGUCGCAAUAGCAGAACAAAAAAACACACAAUCAUCAUUUUCAAGAUGGUUCCAAACAUUGAUCUUCUGCUGUGCAAGUACGCAACAAUAGGAUCCACAAUAAUACUACGGCCAUGCUAAAAUUUAACAAGAGAUGCCAGCCUCUAAUAACAAGUUCACAUAAUGACAUGUUGACUAGCAGUUUCUGCAAAAAAAAAAGGCAACUUUUCGCAAGUUUUUGGUUAGACUGUUUAAGUCCAAGGUUCGAUAAAACCCUUUGUCACCGGUCCGUGAAGGGACGUAUCUCCCUCUGAUCUAUUUUUUCCUUAAAAAUUCUAUGAGAAAAAUACUAUCUGGAACAAAAGAAAUUCAUAUAAUGAAAAAGUUCCAUCCAUGGGAAAAAAAGAAAGAAAGUACAAGUAUAAUCAUACCAUCUAAUAUAGUUAAUGUAUUUUUCUAAUAUAAAGCAUCAUGUUCUCUACCCACUCGUAAAAUUUAAAUCUAAAACUCAACUUGUACAUGAAAAAAAAAUAUUAUGAGGGAUAGGUCGGACCAACUAAAAUAGUUUGGGAUAGUAAAUUAAUCCAGAAUUUUGUUCAUAGGGUUAAACGGAAAAAGUGGAUUGCUUAGGGUAGUAUAAUUUUUCCAUUUUAUGUUUCUAUAGUCUAAAUAAUUGUUAAGUGCAGGGAAAGGAUUAGCUUUAUUGAUCUGUGGAACUAACACAAUGGCAACGACUGAGCUAGAUUCGCCCUCUGCAGAGGCUCUGAAUCUUAACAACUCAAUCCUUGCUUGCCUAUCAAUAAAGAACCAGCCGGCUUAUAUAUUGCUUGGUGCUAACAAACCAAAUCCUAAUUAACAGCUAUUGCUAACCUCCUGCCAUCUUAUCCAACAAAUCAGGCGCCUAACAUGCCGGAGCUGUUGCUGGCGCCGGCUUGCUGCGCCGCCUGUAGGUUCAGCCCACAAAAGCGUCCACAACAAUAAUACCUUAUAUUUUGAUAAAAAAUAGGUAUGUCUCAUCAACAAAUGAUUUUAGAAUGAUAUAAAUUGUGUAGUAUUGUAGGUGCGGGUACUAUUCAAACUUUAGCAGACUAAAAUUGUGGUUGUGUUUUUUUUUCUGCAGGUAAAAAAUCGUGGUUGUGUUUGAUUAAAAAAUCUCAUGAAUGCAUGUGUGCUUUGAUACUUUAAAUCACUCAUGAAUCUAGUGUGGAUUUUCCGACCCCAAUAGCAAAGGAAAAAGAGUGGAACAUUGCAUGACCUGGAUCUCAAUUGUACAGUGACCUUACCCAUUCUAAAAGAUAUGCUUUGUCUUCACCAAGCCUACCAUCAUAGUUUGGCCUUCCAGCUAUAGUCUCCAAUAUGACCACACCAAAAGCAAACACAUCAACUUUCUCACUCAUAUGACCUCUCAUGGCGUACUCAGGUGCAAGAUAUCCACUUGACGAAAACAGCAAAAAGAUCACCAUUAGCUCACAAAGUUAACGAAACUAAUAUAGUGUGUCAAGAUGCGUAAGGGGGAGAAGGUUGGAGAUGUGCUUACAAUGUACCAGCAACUUUUGUGCUGAUAUGCGUGUUCUUGUCAUCAUAAAGUUUGGCGAGACCAAAAUCAGAUAUCUUAGAAUUAAGAUUGGCAUCAAGUAAGACAUUACUAGCCUUUAUAUCCCUAUGCACAACACGGAUGCUAGACUCUUCAUGGAGGUAAGCCAGGCCUCUUGCAAUGCCCAAACAUAUCUCAAAGCGUGUUGGCCAGUCCAGGUUCAAUCUCCCAUUUCCUACCAAUGAAGAAUAAUUUUCAGAUUUAUGUAAGAAACCUGAACUCUUUGCACUUGCAUCGAAUUGAAUGAAACAUUACCGAACAAUGCUUUAUCAAGGCUUCCGUUGUCUAGAUACUCGUAAACCAACAAUGGGUUAUUGCCUUCAAGGCAGCAACCAUACAACUUCACGAGAUUACGGUGUUGCACUUGAGAAAUAGUUUCUAUUUCUGUUAUGAAUUGCUUCUUCCCCUGACGGGAUGUUUCAGAUAGUAGUUUUACUGCCACUACACUUCCAUCGGAUAAUUUACCCUGCCAGAAGGUAUCAUUUUUAAAAAUGCAUGUUUUAAGUAUCAGCGUUACCAUAUGUAUACUGUAAUGAAGAAAAUGAAGAAGACAACCACAACAAAAAGAAAAAGAAAUCAGUAGGGAGCAUAUGUAUAUAUUUUUUUGAAAUAAAUAUGUAUAGAUUUGUAUUAGUAAAAAGAACGGGAGAAGCAUGUGCAGUGAGAAAAAGAAUUCACAUUGCCCAAAAGUAGAGAUAAAAUAAAAGAGGUCUAGCCAAUUUGCAUAAAGAAACAGAUCAGUGUCAAAAAAUUCACAGAAAGUAAAAUUUAACAGAAAAUUGUCAUCCAUGUGUACUACAUAUGAACUAACCUUAUAAACUGACCCAUACCCUCCUUCGCCGAGAAAGUUACUGGAAUUAAAAUUUUCACUAGCGGUCUUUAGUUCACCAUAACUGUAAGUGAAUAAAUUAGGUCUUCCAACAGUAUUGUACAGGUCUGCAAGGAUGACAAGCAAUAAAUUCAUGAACACAACCAAUGUUUGUUUAAAGAAUACAUUGUGAGCAUAGUGUAUCAUGUACCUUGUUGCUCCAAAGACAGUUUUCUACUUUUCUGCCUCCGGACAUACAGUCCAGUGAGCACUAUUAGUCCUACAACUACUGCACCAACCGCAGCUCCAACAAUUGCACCUGUUUUAUUCUUACUUCUCUUCCGAGCAGCAUUAGGUGCUGUAAUCGUGAAGUAUGUCAGAUUCAAAAAAAGCUCACUUGUUGGAAUAAGACAGUGAUCUUACAAAGAAUCAGCAUAUUUUGACUCUGAAGUUUAUGUUAUGUUCUCCUUUACUCAUUUUUAUUUUGGAAUUCAGAUGAGAAUAUUUGCACAAUUUAGAAUAGAUAUGCACGAUUAGUAUAUAUUUAUGCAUAGGUUUAAUUGUCAGCAUGUUUAAUUGUCAGCAUUUCUCAUGGUCGAAACUAUAUGCACAAGUCGACCAAAGAAGGCUGUGGUCAACAGCCCGUAAUUCAACACCCGAUCCGUUGAAGAUGGACCGUAAAAGAUGUCAAUGGGAAGGCUGCUGCUGUCACUACUGACGUUGGUGAUCUCCGUUUCCUGCAAGUUCAUUUCGUUUACUUCUGUCACUACUGACGUCACCCGAUCCGUUUCCUUCUACUACAUCUCACCUGCACCAAGCAGGCAUAUGGAUCUUCGCUAAAGCCUAACACAGCUUCUCCAAGUUCAUUUCAAGUCUAUCUAUUCACUAUUAGAUUUAGGUGAUCACACUCAUGCGAGUUUAGUUGGUCCCGUUGCAAUGCAUACGGACCGGGUAUCCCCCUGGAAUUCUAAAAAAAAAACUCAUGCGAGUUUAGACCUAACAAGAUGGUGUUAGAAUCAUGUGAUUUGAAGCAAAUGGGAGAGAGAGUACCUGGAGUUACACUCAAAGCUGAGAUUAAAGGCCCGUAGUGGCCUUGAGUAGGGAUGCAACAAGUGCCCUUGCCAGCCCAGAACAGAUGAAUUUCAAGGAAGUUUCUAGUGACAGGAAUAAUAUAUUGCUUCUGGACAGCAGCGUAAGAUCCUCUUGCUUCCUUUCUUAUGUCAAAGUUCUGCUCCUUCCGCUCACCCUUUACCAAAAUAAAAAACUCGUGACCAGCUCAAGCUAAAAUGUAAAAACCAAGGGUAGGUUAUUAGUACGACUGGAACUAACCUACCUGUAUAUAGAUAUCAAAAACUCUUUUACCUAAACUUUGCCAAGUCCGUGAGUCCUCAAAGCUAAUCUCUGCAAAUUGAAGCGUUACUACAUAGUUUCCGUUCUCAAGUCCAAUGCCAAAGUAUCUUAAAGACGAAGGCGACAUCCUUGCUCUCUGGAACAGUUCUGAAUCUGGGGUAUUCCGAAACAGGCGUGUUGAGGUGUAUACUGUGUAACUUGCAUUUGAGCUUUGUAUUAUGUAAUCUCUUUCAAAUGCCUCCAUGAACCUCCCAACAUUGCUAACACCCCAUGUUGGUGCUCCUGUAACAUAAUAGGAUGCAGGUCCAAGAUUGGCAUCAUCAGGCAGAUACACGGAACCAUCUGAUCCUGACAUUGAACUACUGCUCCCGCAGUCCACAGCAAAGGAGGUAGCUGCAAGCAUGUUGAAUUAUUUAAUACUGAUGUUAAUUUAGCUAAGUAGACGCACGUUGCAGAAGCUAGAAGCUCACUUUGUGGAGAGCCAAGAAAGCAGGGUGUGUCUCGCUGAAGGCACUCCAGCCCCGAAGGUAAUAAGACACUGCAGAUGUCAAACAUUGACAUUUUGAAUUCAAAAUACGAGCUUAGAGAACAAUAAUUGUACAUGAAGACUUUGAGGAGCUAUUCGAAUGUAAACUGACCUGUUAUUGGAGUUGCUGACCACGAAAUUGUUUGCCACCAAAUUCCUAUGUACAAUGAAACAUGGAAAAAAGGCACCGUUCAUACUUCAGAGCAUAGAGGGUUUGUUUUAUAAGACAAAUAAAAGCAGGGACAAAUAACUGAUUCAUUUUUUCAGCGAAACUGUAAUGAAAAGUAAUUCUCCUUCAUUAAAGAUUCUGAAUUAUAUGUGGCUUAGAUUCUGAAUCAUAGAUGACGUCAAAUGCAAAAAGAAAAAGAAACAAAGAAAAAAGAAAUAUGAUCUAGGUGCAGCAAAAGCAGCUUUUUAGAUGUAGUUGAUAUUAAAAAAUGCUAGUUUAAUACAUGUGUACGAUAUUGGAUUUUCGGUCAGUCAAUCAAGCUUGCAAAACUCAGCACUUACAAUGUCAAAUUCGGACUAACCCAGGAGGGAAAGUUUCCUGAUAGCUGGUUGUAGGAAAAGUCUCUACACAAAAGAAAGCAUGUAAAUGUUAUAGAUAAACGCCUUCCUGGUUUUACUUCACAAAUGAAAGUGGACAAACAUACAAGUUUUUAAGAGAAGUUCCUAUAGAACUUGGAAGGCUUCCUGAAAGACUAUUAUUCCCGAGAAACCUGGGCAGACCAAAUUUGCGCAUUAGCAAGAUUGAUGAUCAUUGUCAUCAGAACCUAGAAAUAAGUAUCAGAAGGCAAGAUAAACCAUACAAGAAGCUGAGUAUAUUCAGAUUCAGCAGAGCUUGUGGUACUUGGCCAGUGAUAUUGUUAAAACUCAAAUCCCUGUAACAGUAGAACAAAUGAGACUAGGAGAGAAAGGGGUCAUCAAACAAUGCAUAAUCCACAGCAGUUCAUUAAAGCAUCUAGCAAAACAUGCAGUUGACUGGAGUUUAGGAAGAAACAAAAUGUCUUACAGUAGGCUUAAUUUUGCAAACUGUGAAAAGUUUACUGAUGCCAGGUUAUCAGAUAUCCUGCAGUUCCUCAAAACUCUGCAAUGAAACAUGUCAAGAGUUUUCGGAUUUAACAAUUGGUUACACUACAGAAAAUAUUAAGAUGUAGUUUGAGUCAUCAAAUGAAUGGCAAGUUAUGCAUACAAGGUGUUUAAAGAUGUCAUGUUACUGAUGAAUGCCAGUGAAGAACUUCCAUUUACUAUGUCACCUAUUCGUCUGCACCACAGAAAUAGAUAAUCAAUUCUUCUGUUCUGCAACCUUAAUAUUUGACAAUGAUACUUAUCUACUCCCGCCAUCAGUAGUCACUUACAAGCUUGUCAGUUGGACAAGAUUAGAAAGAGUGGUUGGAAGUGGACCUUGAAAUGAAUUGCCUUGAAACCGUCUGCAAAAUUAUAGUUGUUGUUACUAGUGAAGAAAGAAGGAAGAUCCUGCUGGUACAAGGGUCACUUUCUUGGUAAAAAAAGUAAAUAGAUUUAUGCAGAUAGAAAUAUGAUCUGUUCCAUAAAAAAGAUAAUUAUUAGAAAAAUCAAUUCAAUAUUUUUAACACUAGUAUUUUUUUAAUGGAACAGGAGGGGUUAGGACCCCUACUGGUUAUAUAUUCAGGAAAAAGGAGUCUUUUACAGAGGAAAAAGGAGAAAAAGGAAAAUUACAACAGAUUGUCAAGCCAUUCUGUGAUUCUAGGGAAAGACUUCUUUUUUUGCUCGAUGGAUAACCAUAGAAAAUUCAUACUUGAAAAUGUUUCUGCAACUCUCAACUGAAACUUGUUGUUGCCUGGAGAUUGCAUUGUUCCUUGUUGUCCAGAAUAUGUGGAACAGCACCGCAUCAUCAUGAAUAGUGAAAAAUGUAAUAUUUACUAAAAUGAUGAAACCACCUCACAUCUGACCUUAAGUGGAUUAUUUUAAUAGGUCACUGAAUGGAGAUUUAGCAGAGUAAAAACUACAAACUACACUUAGCUAAUACCAUCUCAUUUAUGAGCACAAUGAGCCAGGGUUCAAAAUGAAUUUCAUACUUGAGAACUGUUGCAAACUGUACACAAUGUCUUUAAAGAAAUUAUCAACACCAUCUGAAAAGUAUAAGUUGUAAAUCUUACAGAUCUGAUAAAUUACUGAGGCUCCCAAUGUAAUCUGGUAUUUGCCCAGUAAAAUCAUUAUCUGAUGCCCACCUAAUCACAAAUAAGAAUAACGCAUAAGGUUAAAUGAAUAAUACUGUUGACAAAACGUCUUUUAUAGGCAUACAAUGUUUUCAGGCUUGUAAGCUUAGAAAAUGAUGGUGGUAGUGGACCACUUAAGCCAGAGCUGUCAAUAUAUCUGCAAAACAGAAAUAAAAGAAUAAGAAUGUUAACAUGGUUUGGUAGAAGAAAAGGUAAGGACCACAGGGUGCCCAAAAUUAAUCAAAAUACGCACAGUUGCUCAAGUUUAACCAUGUUACCCAGUUCGGGAGGAAGGGAUCCAUUUAAGUUGUUUAUGCUUAUGCCCCUGAAAUCCCAAAAAAAAUGUCAGGUUAGUAGCAAAAGAUUUGUGACAGGAAACUUUCUUAUCUUUCGAAGGAUGAAUACUUUUCCCGACAGAGGUCAACUAGUAGAAGGAAUGAAGGUGUGUUUUUUCUAUAAGCAUGAUGUCGAUAGCAUGUAUUCUCAACUUAAACUGUUCUUUAUUUGUUGAUUCUUACACAUUUAAAUAAAUUCAUAGGUACGUGUACAAAGCCAAGUCGAGAUUUAUAAAACUUUGUAGUUUGGACAUUAGCAAAGAUUUCUACUGAAAUAGGACCAUGAAACAGAGAAGGUAAAUUUCUUACAGCGCUAUGAGAUUCACAAGCUUCCCAAGCUCCUUUGGAACAGAUCCAGAUAAUGCAUUCAUUGCAAGACUCCUUGUAUGUUCAAGGGAGAUAGUUUAAGUUUCAAUGUUACCCAAAACAUGCGAUGUAGUAAUGUUAGGUUCUAAAUCUCACAAGUAUUGCAAAGCAGUCAGUUCCCCAAGGAACGAUGGUAUAGGCCCUGUUAAGUAAUUUUGCAUUAAGUUCCUAAAAAACGUCAGAUCAGAUCAGAUGUAAACGAAAAAGGAUGGCUCUCAGUAGGUAUUAUAUUUAAAGAAAUUUUGAGCUUGAUGUGGGAGGCUACUACAAAGCAAUCCGCUGCUAUGAUAAUAUGAUAUGCCGUGGAACUGCGGGAAAUGACAAAGUCCACCAAUAAAUUGCGACUAAACAAUCUUAAUAUACACUUGGGAUACUUUGGCUCACUGACGAUUUCAAGAAAGUUGAGAAUUCAUACAAACUGGUCAAGUGCGUGAGGUUCCUCAGCUCUUCUGGUAUAGGACCUGCCAGAUUCAAUGCGUACAUUUUCCUGCAGCAAUAACAGUGAAGCACCCAUCAGCUCGCACCAUCUCAAUUUAGCCUUCAUGGAUGUUCGUCGUCAGACAAACACCACCAGGUUAUGGAGCGCCGUCAAAUAACCGCACAAGCAAUAGUUGCAGAGAUAAGGACGAUGCACUAGCCUGCCACACUCUGAGUGCACGAACUGCCACCUCAGGUGGGCAAAUUAGAGCUGAUGGUGGGCGUACGGAUAGGAAGCGUGAGACACUUACAGCCUGGUGAUGUGGCAGACGGUGUUGUUCUGGUACGUGCAGUCGCAUUUGAUUCCCGGGUUCAUUUUUGGGUCAUUGUCGACGUCGGUGUCGUCCGUGGCCGCGCCGGCGCAAGGGUCGACGCCGCUGAACCAAGAUGGCCACAGUCUGCUCCCGAGUUUGUCAAACACCCCCUUCAGCGCAUCCGCUGCGAAUGAGACACAAACACGAAAACGCGAUCAAACAUCCUGCCCCUCGGCAGUCCGAGAAAAUUUUGCAAUAUGCUCCUAUGGUUUAAGAUAUUUAGACCCUGACUAUAACUUUUUGCAGGCCGAGAGCUUGCAUUGUGUGGCCGAGGGGGAUUGAUUUGUUUAGUAUUCAUGUGCUCUAAUGGUCGAGAGUAUUUUGGUGUUACAUAGCUGAUCUCCGAGAGUGAACAUGAUUUCCAGAGAAGCAAUCACCGACUAACCUUUACCGACCACAGAGAAUAUAUAAAAUAACAGAUCACCGCCAGGCACUCAACGCGUACUCUAGGCAAAAGUGGUGAAUCUAGUAGUGUACAGUGAUAGCUAGUCUUAAGCUUGUAAAACAUAAAAAGCAUUAUAAGUACCCUAAAAGCUUGGUGACAUAGUAACUUAUUUCUUUUUUAAUAAAAAAAUAUAUAUCUAGUAGGAAUCUUAGCCCCCACCUGUUCCUAAAAAAGUACCAAGACUCUAGCAGUCCUACCUCGGGGCUUUCUUAUUUUACAACAAAAAAAAAGGCAAUGGGGGUACUAAUACUAUGCAGCAAGAGGUGAGAACAAGAUGACAUGAAGAUGCACAAAAAUAUUUGUGCUCGAGAUGAAAUCUGUCCUGCCCUGCAAUGGACGAUUCCACUCUUUCACAACCAAAAUUUAUGCUCGAACAAGAUGCUUUUACCUUUACUAUCGGUUUCAUGACUACACGCACGCCGGCCUACAUGUUGCCAGCACAGCACAUGCGCCAACCUGUUUUGUUACGCCAUCUCAGCCCAGCCAGGUCUGUGUCAGGCAAGCAGCACGAACAUGUUUCUAUGUUUAGUAUCGAUUCCCUUUGUUUCAAAAUAUAGUUCAAUUUAGAUUUAUCCUCAAUCAAAUUUCUAUAAAUUUGAUAGGCAUCAGCAUCUACAACAUCAAAUUAGUUUCAGUGAAUCCACCAUGAAAUAUCUAUUUCAUGAUAGUGUAUUUUAUUUGGUAUUUUUUGACGAAGUCAGCAGGAAAGCCUCAACCUAUUUUUUUAAUUUUUUAUUCUAGAUCUGUUUAAUUCGCUUCCAAGGGGAGUCGAACUCGAACUCAGGUCUGCUGGAUACUGUUCAGGUGCUCUAACCACUAGGCUAGAUGCACUUUCACUAUUUUAUUUGGUAUUGUAGAUGUUAUUAUAUUUUUUUAUAAACUUAAUCAAAAUUAGAGGAAGUUUGAUUUAGUGAACUGAGCGUAGCUCAGCUGGUAAGGUCCCUUGUGGUGGAACCUGCUCAGUGGUAGGUGAUGCGCCCAUUGAUAGCGAGACGUCAGCGGUGACUUCAUCAAUCUCGAGGAUUUACCAGUUCAUUUUUCGGAGGUGCUCAUAGGGGUAAGGUUGCGUGCGUGUAUUCGUAGGGGCGAGUGUGCGUACAUGUAUAUGAGCGUCUACGUCUGUACUUAUGAUUCGCACUUAUGAUUCGCAGUAAAAAAGAGAAAGUUUGAUUUAGAAAAAACUAAUGAACUAUAUUUUAGAAUGGACUAAGUAAUCAAUUAGGUGCUGAUUUAUUUUUUUAAGACGUACAUAUGAGAAAGUUACCUAUCAAAUUAUUCUUACUAUAUUUGGUCAUUUAAAGACGACUCGUCAUGCUAGAUGACCGGAAGGAGUAGUAAAGAAUUAGUCUUAGACGACUCCACCGGAGACAGGCAAUGAAAACGACAACUAGCAAGUAACUACCACGACAAGCAGCCAUAAGGUGGUUGAAACUGCACAACAAGUCAACAACUAGCUCUCUAAGGAAGGUUGAUUUUUAGGGCAGUUCCAAAUCAUAGUUUCUAUGGGUAGUUUUUAUGUUCACAUAUCAUCAAGAUGCCACUUGUAGAUCUAAUCUCCCCAACCUAUAAUUUCUAUGGGUAGUUUCUACGUAUGAUUUCACGCAAGCAGCACAAACAAAGCUCGGUCAGCUGUGGCAAGCAACCGCGUAGCCUUCAUGCUGCCACAGUCCGAGCCAUUGAAAUUAAAAUAAAUUCAUUCGCAGCUGCUAUAAGAUCGAUCAACCUGGAAAGAGCCGCCAAGAGACGAUGCAGGCCAAAAUGCAGGAGCGAGAUGAGCGCUGGUUCGAUCAGUGCCUGGACAAAGUGCCAAAGUGGCGCUAGAAGCAACGGACGGAGAACUAGCGCCUGGAGAAAGCAACAGCAGCAGCACCAACAACUCGUCUGGAACUUGAAGAGGGCUUCCUCGAUUUCUUUUGAUGUACGCCUUUCUUCUCCAAUCGAUCCUUAGAAGCGGCGCGUGGGGAAUUGCUGGCGGAGGCUUGGUGCGCGGCCGCGCACGGGGGUGGCCAGCGGCGUCAGGCGGACACAAGCGCCGGAAAUUGGCACGCGCGAGCGAGGGAGGGGAUGGCCCGCGGCGCGCGCGUGAGGGAGGGUCGCGACGCGGCAGUAGCAGGCGCGCACGGAGCCUGGGGGUGGGUCGCGGCGCACAGCGGAUCGGGAAGAUGCGCAAGAAAACGAGGAAGAAAACCGUAACGCUGGCCCAACGCGAUUUCGGCGGUAUCUACGCACUUGAUUCGCGAGCUGACUCGGUUUCUAACAUGAGAAAAACAACGAUAUCUCGCUCUUUCUUCGUUAAACCACCUGCCACGUCAUUAGCCCCCUUUGUCACGGCUCCUUGAGGAGCUUCUCCACCGGCUUCUCAAGGAGCCGUGUCAAACACUUUCUUCAAAACAGCUUCUCCGGCGAAGCUGCCUAAAAAUCUGUUGAGAGGAGCAAAACGAGCAGGCGGAGCUAGGAAAAUGAGCUCCCCGCGGCUCCCUCAUCCAUCCUGCACCAUUCGGUACCAUAAUACCCCUGGAGUUUGCCGAAUUUACACCCAUUUUACCACUGUCUUCUUUUCUCUCUCUCCCCUAUCGCCCAUUCGUGGAGGAACGACGGGCGGCGACUAGCAGCGGGAGGUUCAAGCACCAGGAGGUGUGGCAGAGGUGGCCGGCAGUGGUACGCGGAAGCGGUGGCGGUGGCGGCUGGCAGCUGUAGGCAGCGCGGGCCAGGGAGAAAGAGAGGAGGAAAAUAGAAAGGCAGCUGGCAGCACGCGUGGUGGCCAGAGAAGGAGGCUAGGGGGGUGGCCGGAGAAGGAAGCCAUGGGAGCGCGGCACGCCGGAGAAGGUGAUGACAGGCUGAUCUGGUGCAGGGAGGUGCAGGGUCGCGAUGCGGUAGUAGUAGGCAUGCACGGAGCCUGGGGGUGGGUCGCGGCGCACAGCGCAUCGGGAAGAUGGGCAAGAAAACGAGGAAGGAAACCAUAACACUGGCCCAACGCGAUACCGGCGGUAUCUAUGCACUUUGGUGCGCGAGCCGACUCAGUUUCUCACCUGAGAAAAGCGAUUUCUUACUCUUUCUUCUUCCCUGUUUGGUUCCUUUAGUGCAUAGACUGGACUAAACUUUAGUCCCACCCCUGUUUGGUUCCAUGGACUAAGGGAGUGUUUGGCUCCCAGGGGUCAAACUUUAGCCCCUGUCACAUCGGAUGUUUGGAUACUAAUUAGGAGUAUUAAACAUAGGCUAAUUACAAAACUAAUUGCACAGAUGGAGGCUAAUUCGCGAGACAAAUCUAUUAACCUUAAGUCCAUGAUUUGAUAAUGUGGUGCUACAGUAACCAUUUGCUAAUGAUGAGUUAAUUAGGCUUAAUAGAUUCAUCUCGCGAAUUAGCCCAGGGCUUCUCUAAUUAGUUUUAUAAUUAACUCAUGUUUAGUCCUCCUAAUUAGCAUCCGAAUAUUUGAUGUGACAAAGGCUAAAGUUUAGCCCCUAGUAUCCAAACAGCACCUAAAAUGGACUAAAGUUCAAAAAUACUGUUAAACAAAGACCCUUUUACUCUUCUUCCCUACCCUCUUGGUAUCCCUGCGUCUACUCCUCCUCACACGGGAACUCCAACUACCGCUGGUUGAAGCUUCUCCAUCUCCAGCGCCAGUGGAGCACCGCUCGAGCAUGCCCAACCUACCCCGCCACAUGCGAACUCCCGCGCGGUGCAGGCAAGAUCCUUUGUGUGCCGGCGAGCAGUGGAGCGAGCAGAGGAUUGGCCCGAAUGGGGGAGCCUCGAAUCAGCGACAAGAUGGAGGCUCAUCGAUUCGGCCACAAGGUGAGCUCAAGGGGGCGUCGCGUUGAUUUGGACGCUGGGGAGGCUCGAUGGGGUGGCAAUGUGUCGAUUUGACCGUCGGAGGACCCCGAGGGGGUGGCGGCAGUCCUUCUCAUCGCCUCUCCCCCAUGGCGGGCUAGCACCAUCGUACAUUGAAGCUCCGCCAGCCUAGCUGCAGGGCAAGCGAGCUUCGAUAGUGCGGCCACGGUACGGUCGAGCGCCACCGCGUAGGUGAGGGCAGCAGUGGGCCGGCGGCGAGGGGAGGGGAGCAGCGGUGGGUAGGCACGAGCGGAGGAGCAGCGGCCGGACGUGGGGAGAGCGGCGGCGUGGGGAGGUGAGCAGGAGGGAGGCGGGUGGUGAUGGCAGCGGGCGGCGACGACAACGAGUGGGAGGGAGGCCAGGUGGGAGGGAGGCGGCGGGCGGGAGGGAGCCGGGUGGGAAGGAGGGCAGUAAAUGAGGGGUAGGGGUGUCCCAACACCCUUUAGUCCAGUUUUGUGGAUUAGAGGACUAAAGCCUUUUGUUCAAACUUUAGUCCACUGUUUGGGUGUUUAGGGACUAAAAGUGCACCAAAACUUUAGUCUAUGAGAACCAAACACCCCCUGAAUCACCUCCCACAUCAUUAGAUUGCUGAGAUGGUAACACCCCCUGAAUCACCUUCCACAUCAUUAGAUUGCUAAGAUGGUACUGUAUUGAAUGAUAUAGAAAUUGGGUGACUUGAAGGUUGGGAAUGCCCUUAAUAUUUUCUCACUUGGAUCCCAAUUUCAUCUCGUGGGCUUGCUCUGUUAAGUUUCCUCUCGUGCGGUUGAAACAGCUUUGGUUGUGGCUUCUCUGAUGGAGCGGUUUUUUUAGCUCUAGUUUGCUUGAUUGGAAAAACGUUUGGCAAAACAGCUUCUCUUGAUUGUUUUAAAUGGAUAAAAAUGUGAAAUGUCCAUACUACACUUACCUUUUUUUUCUUUUCUAUUUCUUUUCUUUUUUUUCAUUUUCCUUCCUCUUUUAUUGCUUUUUCCUCCACGGUUCCAACCGUUUCUCUCUGCCUACCUUAUCCUUUCACUCCAUCCCAGCGCCAAUGCCCGCGCAUGCUGAUGCGCCUCCAUCCUCAGGCCCUACCGCGCCUAGGGGCAAACUGGAGACUUCGGCCUUGCGGAUGGGACGAAGCUGCGGGGAGCCAAUUUUUUUUGGCUUCUCCUCCACCCUUAGCUCCUCUCAGCGCGAAUUGGGGGCUCCAUCGGUGGAGCCGUUUCGUUCUUCCCCGUUUGGCAGCUAGGGCUGCUCAAGAAGCCCUGUCCAAGAGGACCUUAUUCGUAGGCAAAACAUGAACGAAGUCAAAAGGCCAAAAAUCAUAACAUCAUACCAUUAAACGCACCCCUGUUGCCCUUCUACCCCAAACAUUUGGAACGAGAUAGUUUCUUGGACGAAUCGGGCAGAUGAUUCUCUAGAACAGAUCAGGGAUGACUUGCCUUGCCUUGCCGGGCAGAUGAUUCUUGGAAGAAAAUUACCGUGCCUUGCCAGGCUCGUGCCGGACCCUACUGGACCGCUCGUUUGGACAUCUAUAGCCAAGUGUGAAUUUUAUGGUGGGCAAGCAAAAGGCCAAACACGAUAUCGAUGGAUUGAUGCAAGCUGAUUUGAAACCCCCUCGCUAAUUUGAAAGAAAUAAGACAUGCACGCUUACCUUCAACCGGAUCGGUCCUUGUCCUCGCUUGCUGAGCUUGCGCAGAUGCAGCUAGAAGAAGCAGCAGCAGCAGCAACGUCGGGAGCGCAGCAGAGCCAUGGCGGCACGAACUGCUGGGUCCAGGCCUCCUCAUCUCCUUCCCCUCUCUCUGGCCUCGAGGUCGGGGUUGGCUACCCCUUCCGAGGCCGAGCGGGAUAUAUGGUGACCUGAUGGAGACUCUUAUGGCGAUUAGCUUGUCUCAGGGCCCCGCCGCCGCGGCAGACACGUACAGCUCCCUCGACGCUGCGCCACCAUGCAAGGACGGCGCAAUUAGGGAAUUUUCUAUGGUCAAGUGGCGCCACUGCUAUGUCGAACGCGACGGGCCAACAACUACCUCCAGGCUCCCACAUGGAAGCAGAGCCGAAGGCGAUCGACGACGACGGCUGACCGUGUUGUUCUGUGCGAGGAGACUUGCAGCUUGGUGACGUGGCAGACGGUCGCCGCUGAUGUUCCAUGCCGACGCCGCCGUUUAGCACUUUCAUUAAAUAUUUUACAUAUAUUCAAUAAUGUGGUGAAAUUGUGUUUUCUAUGAAGGCUUGUGAACUUGAUAUUACAAAUAUUAUAUAAUUCCAUCAUAUGCGUUACACUAAAGAACCAGAAGCACAGGAAUCAAUGGGUGAUAUUGCUCCACCUCGAGUGCAGAGUGGGAGUGAACUUACAUGUUCCAAAAUAUAAACAAUAUAAACUCUUGUUACGCUGCUGGAGAGGAGGCAUCGCUGGAGUCGCACUUCGCCUUGUUGGACACGCAUCACCCCUCUACUCUGUAUGGGUCUCUUUUGCGCAACUCCUGCUGGCUCCAGCUCCAUUACUGUAGCACACUAUAGUUUAUUGUAGUGCGUGCCGGAUCUGGAGUUGGGGGAGCAAUUUUUUCUAGAUUCACCGGCUCCUCCUCCAUAACUGUAGUGCAAUGUAGCUAAUCGUAGCGCAUAUCAGAUAUGGAUUUUGGCUCCUCCUCCAUAACUGUAGUGCAAUGUAGCUAAUCGUAGCGCAUAUCAGAUAUGGAUUUUGACUCUUCACUGCAGUACAACAUAAUAGUGAUACAAGUAGCGUGACACAGGAGACAAGAGCUGUGAGGGAGCGGUGCCAAAGGGGUCAUACGGGUGUCUUCCUCUAUUUUCUUUGCGACGGGAAGAGGUAAACAUACGGGUGGGGCAUCAAGCUAAGUGCACGAGAUUGUGCUCAGAGAAAAUCUUGCUGCUUCUUUUUUUAAUCAUAGAUCGGGUUGGCAUCGUCCUGUCGUUCUGUCAUAAAUCAUAUAUAUAGAUCCGGAUAGACCAAACCCUCCAACAUCAUCAUUUGGUCCUGGGCUCAAAAAAUCAAACCAAAACUUGACCCGAAAAAGAAAAUCGAUCUAAGACGGGCGAAGCAACAAUCGAUCAGAGCACAUAACCUAACACAAAAUACGUGCAAAAGCUGAAUAUAUAUCCUCAGAACGUUUGUGACGUGCAUUUACAGAAAACUGUCCGUCAACUUGCAAAUCACCGGCCUUCUUCUCGGAGCUGUUAGAGGUUUAGGCAUUUUACGGCAUAUUUUAAUUCCGAAUAUUUUUAAGUAAAUUAUGGUCAUUGUGAGUGAUACAGACCGUGUGCAAGUGUUUUGUUUAAAACACGUUUGAACGUAAACAGAACCAAAAGAAAGAACCAGAUAAGGUUCAAUAUGUACCCAGGGGCGGGAUCAUUGCUGAAGGCAAUGGGUGCGCCGUUCCUAGAACUGGAUGCAUCAGACAUUGUGUCUAAAAUGUCGGUUCGAGCUGUUCGAUGUAGUUGAUCAAAGUUGAUGCAGUGUUGAGUUGGUGCAGAGCAGUCCCUUGAACGGCCUCCAGGAUGUAGCAUGACGCGCAGAAGAUGCGCUUCCCCAAAACUUGAUUGCCUGCCUACUCGUGCAAGUGUCGCAGCAGGAUGAAGUUUCGGAGACCUGCGCGUAGAGGCUCGCGAUGGGAAUGUCAAGAUAGCAGCGGGCAACAGCAAAAAAAAGGGGAGAGACGCGUGCGCGGCUCGACGAGGCGAGCAAGCGCACGCGCGGCACCCUUUCUCUCUUCCUCAACUUCUCAAUUAGUGCACACAUAGUCCAUCUAUUUUAGUUAGUUAAGAUACUCUUAACUAUCCAGCUAGAAUUAACCACUUUAUCCAUCUAGCAUUACACGUGGAUCCUGAGAUUAAAUGAAUUAAAUCGGCCUAACCUGAAUAUUCAACAGGAGCUAGCUAAUGAACGGCGAAGAGGUGUGCGACGAGGUGGCCCUUGGGGCCAAGCUCGACUGCCCGCUCAUAUUACUGCUCAUGAAGCUGCUGGUGUUGCCUCCCUUGAUCUGCCAUUCGGUGAUGUAGCUGGGCUUGUUCACCACCUCGCCCACCUCCA
rnacentral:lncRNA from 1 species